CCUACGGGCGGCAGCAGUGAGGAAUAUUGGUCAAUGGCCGGAAGUCUGAACCAGCCAAGCCGCGUGAGGGAGGAAGGCGCAGAGCGUCGCAGACCUCUUUUGCCGGGGGACAAAAGGCCGGACGGGUCCGGUUCUGAGGGUACCCGGCGAAAAAGCAUCGGCUAACUCCGUGCCAGCAGCCGCGGUAAUACGGAGGUUGCGAGCGUUAUCCGGAUUUAUUGGGUUUAAAGGGAGAGUAGGUGGAUUGUUAAGUCAGUUGGGAAAGUUUGCGGCUCAACCGUAAAAUUGCAGUUGAAACUGGCAGUCUUGAGUGCAGUAGAGGUGGGCGGAAUUCGUGGUGUAGCGGUGAAAUGCUUAGAUAUCACGAAGAACUCCGAUUGCGAAGGCAGCUCACUGGACUGCAACUGACACUGAGGCGCGAAAGUGUGGGUAUCAAACAGGAUUAGAUACCCCAGUAGUC
rnacentral:rRNA from 1 species